UACGAAGGGGGCUAGCGUUGUUCGGAUUUACUGGGCGUAAAGGGCGCGUAGGCGGCGCACCAAGUCAGGCGUGAAAGCCCUGGGCUCAACCCGGGAAUUGCGCUUGAGACUGCAUCGCUAGAAUUGUGGAGAGGUAAGUGGAAUUCCGAGUGUAGAGGUGAAAUUCGUAGAUAUUCGGAAGAACACCAGUGGCGAAGGCGACUUACUGGACACAUAUUGACGCUGAGGUGCGAAAGCGUGGGGAGCAAACAGG
rnacentral:rRNA from 1 species